UCCUCGAUAGCUCAGUUGGUAGAGCACGCGGCUGUUAACCGCGCUGUCGUAGGUUCGAGUCCUACUCGGGGAG
rfam:Roseburia intestinalis XB6B4 draft genome.